rnacentral:rRNA from 1 species
GCCCGGGCUAUACGAUUGGUCCCGGUUAGCCGGCCCUCCGGGGCCGGCGAGGAAAGACGUUUGACACUGGCCUGGGGCGCGGCCGAAUGAUGGC